CAGCAUCUCUGUUCCCAGAUGCAGUGGUUUUUGGAUGGACACCCUCACCUGCCUCCCACCAUGCCUGGACAGCCCAUGUCACCGCAUCCCACCUCACCCAAGGGUGCCUGGGGAUACCCUGCCCUGGGUAGCCCUGGAACAUCAAGCUCGGAGAAGGGAGGAAAGUUCCCAGGGGCUGGUGAUCCAGUUGGACCAGGGUUCCAGCUACACCUCCAGAUGGUCCUCAGGGCUCAGUACCAUCUUCACUCCUUCCAUAUCAGAUAAAUGCAGCAGCACCCAAAAUAGCCGGCAGCCACCUUGUCAGGAGCCGGCAGCCUAGGGUUAAUUCCUCCCAUACCUGAGCUGACAUUUCAAUGCUAUUACACAAUUAUGGAGAUUCCUACAGUAACCCUAGAACUUCCCAUCAGUUUGGGAAGCUUCUACCUCCCAGAGGGUUGUUUUCCUUCUCAGGGGUGCACCCCAGUUCCCUCCACCCCAGUGAUAACGGAGAAAAAACAAUCAAAAUUACCUGAUUUUUAUUAUGUAAAAAUGUAACUUUUAUAAAAAGUUUAUAAAGCAAGUACAAGGCAUGUUUGCAGAAACUCACCUUCCUGCACAAAAGGUACAAAAAGUUAUACUCUAGUAUAGAGCUCCACAAUAUACGAGGCCACAGCCCCAGAGAGUUUGGUUCAUACUCGAGGAUGUUUGUCCCCCCUCCCCAAAACCCCCUAAUCCCCACCCCGCCAUCCCAUUGAACACCUUUAAAAAAAAGGACUCGCUGCUAUAAUCCAAAAAUAUAUAGACAACCUCCUCUUCAUCAUCAGUCUGUCUUAAAAAA